UGGUUCUGGCAUCGAUGAAGAACGCAGCGAAAUGCGAUAAGUAAUGCGAAUUGCAGAGCAGUGAGUCAUCGAAUCUUUGAACGCACAUUGCGCCCUUUGGCAUUCCGAAGGGCAUGCCUGUUCGAGCGUCAUUAUCAACCCUCAAGCCUGGCUUGGUAUUGGAUCUCAUUGUCAUAGAUGGAUCCCAAAGAUAAUGACAGAGUCUGUUAGAUCCUAGAUGCAAUGAGCUUUCACUAGCACGCAUUGAAGGGUUAAUAGGCCUGGUCUUUAAUCACUUUUUCUAUGGUUGACCUCGGAUCAGGUAGGAAUACCCGCUGA
rnacentral:misc_RNA from 1 species